UACGUAGGCAGCGAGCGUUGUUCGGAGUUACUGGGCGUAAAGGGUGUGUAGGCGGUUUUCUAAGUUUGGUGUGAAAUCUCCCGGCUCAACCGGGAGGGUGCGCCGAAAACUGGGAGACUAGAGUGCGGGAUGGGAGAGUAGAAUUCCUGGUGUAGCGGUGAAAUGCGUAGAUAUCAGGAGGAAUACCGGUGGCGAAGGCGGGUCUCUGGGAAGUAACUGACGCUGAGAAGCGAAAGCAUGGGUAGCAAACAGG
rnacentral:rRNA from 1 species